UGGGGAAUAUUGCACAAUGGAGGGAACUCUGAUGCAGCGACGCCGCGUGAACGAAGAAGGCUUUCGAGUCGUAAAGUUCUUUUAUAUGGGAAGAUAAUGAUGGUACCAUAAGAAAAAGCCCCGGCUAACUACGUGCCAGCAGCCGCGGUAAUACGUAGGGGGCUAGCGUUGUCCGGAAUCACUGGGCGUAAAGGGUUCGCAGGCGGAAAUGCAAGUCAGGUGUAAAAGGCAGUAGCUUAACUACUGUAAGCAUUUGAAACUGCAUAUCUUGAGAAGAGUAGAGGUAAGUGGAAUUUUUAGUGUAGCGGUGAAAUGCGUAGAUAUUAAAAAGAAUACCGGUGGCGAAGGCGACUUACCGGGCUCAUUCUGGCGCUGAGGAACGAAAGCGUGGGUAGCAAACAGG
rnacentral:rRNA from 1 species